rnacentral:rRNA from 1 species
UUGGGCGUAAGGGUUUGUAGGCUACUUUUUAAGUCUGCUGUUAAAGAAUAAGACUUAACCUUAGAAAAGCAGUAUGAAACUAAAAGGAUAGAGUUCAGUAGGGGUAGAGGGAAUUCUCGGUGUAGUAGUGAAAUGCGUAGAUAUCGAGAGGAACACCAAUAGCGAAAGCACUCUACUAGGCUGUAACUGACGCUAAGAAACGAAAGCUAGGGGAGCCAAUGGGAUUAGAUACCCCAGUAGUCCUAGCUGUAAACGAUGGAUACUAAGUAUUGGAUAAUAAAAAAUUCAGUGCUGUAGCUAACGCGUUAAGUAUCCCGCCUGGGGAGUAUGCCCGCAAGGGUGAAACUCAAAGGAAUUGACGGGGGCCCGCACAAGCGGUGGAGCAUGUGGUUUAAUUCGAUGCAACGCGAAAAACCUUACCAGGAUUUGACAUCCCAUAUUUUUUUUCUAGAAAUAGAAGAAUUGACGUGGAGACAGGUGGUGCAUGGCUGUCGUCAGCUCGUGUCGUGAGAUGUUGGGUUAAGUCCCGUAACGAGCGCAACCCUUGUCUUUAGUUCGAUAGUCUAAAGAAACUGCCGAUAAUAAAUCGGAGGAAGGUGAGGAUGACGUCAAGUCAGCAUGCCCCUUAUAUUCUGGGCGACACACGUGCUACAAUGGUUAAGACAAUGGGAUGCAAACUUGUAAAAGGAAGCUAACCUCAAAAACUUAAUCGAAGUUCGGAUUGUCGACUGAAACUCGUCGACAUGAAGCUGGAAUCGCUAGUAAUCGCCGGUCAGCCACACGGCGGUGAAUACGUUCUCGGGCCUUGUACACACCGCCCGUCACGUUAGGGAAGCUGAUUAUGCCCGAAGUCAUUGAUUUAACCUUUUGGAGAAAAAUGCCGAAGGCAGAGUGAGUAACUAGAACGAAGUCGUAACAAGGUAGCCAUCUUGCUAGAARAWCUCSAGCCAUC